AGUUUUCAGGUGCAAUCAUGUAUAAAGGCCGCAGUCAAUUUUGUCUCAACUGAAAGUGUUAGUGCAUCUAGUUAACUCAAUUGCUUACCACCGAAGGACCAAUGGCUAAGGAAACAAACUAGAGAUAAAGAAGAAAACCCUCCACACUAGAAACAAAACUGUGAAUGCACUGAAACUGUGGUUUGAGGAUACUGAAGAAAACUCAAACCUUUUUACAUCAGAAACAGAAUCCUCUGAAACCUAAAGCUGUCAUUGUGAACCUAAGGAAUGACUGGUAAUUUAGCUACUGAGUUGGUGGUUUGGCUGUAGAUCGCCGUGCGUAAAGGUGGCUACAUCAAAUGGUGUAUGUAACAUUAUAUCUUACGUAUCACCCCAAUACUGGGCAAUGCUAG